GUGGGUGUGGCUCAGUGGCAGAACACUGGCCUAGCCUGUGAGGGGCCCUGGGUUCAAUCCCCAGCACCACA
rnacentral:tRNA from 1 species